UUUUUAUUGCAGGUUUUAAGAGAGGAGCUGAUCCUGGGAUGCCUGCAAUUACAUUACUCAAUUUAUUGUGGCAGUGAGAGAGAAACUUUGAAGUUAUUUCAGGAGGAUGGAAAAGUAUAUACAAAUGUACAGUACAUAAUAUUGGGUUAAUAUUUUGCGAUGUUAAAAAAGUGUCCCUAAAAUAUGUUAUCCGACAUUUUUAUGUUCAUUAGUAAAUGAUAAUAAAUUUAUUUAUAGAAUUAGCA